rnacentral:lncRNA from 1 species
ACACCAGAUUUUUAAAGAGAGAGAGAGGGAGAGAGAAAGGGUGUUGAGUCAAUUUUUUUUCCCAUGUAUAUGAAAUAAGCAUUUUAUACAAAAAGCUACAAAACUAUCUGCAUUGAACCAACUUCAUAAAUUUCUUCCUUCAAACCCAUGAUGUCUUGACAUUUCUAAAUUUACAUUUUAAUUUUGAACAAACUAAAAUGCAAACACAUCUAAGACAGUUUAUAAAUAUGCUAGUGAUUCCUAUUCCUGGGCAUCAAACCAGACUCCACACUGUCUGGUCAGAUAAAAUACUGUCUGGUUGUAACAAUGUCAAGUCCUUUGCAGGUUUUUUUUUUCUGUCAUCUGUUGUAACUAAAAAUAAUCUUAAUGACCAACUAGUUCUCCCAAGAAACAGUCCUGCCCCACCCCACCCAGGUGGAGACCAGAAAUACCUGAGAAGGGGGCGGAGUGGGAAGCCGGAGCGGGAAUCCGGACAGCUGACCUGCUGCGAGUCAUCAGUCUGCAGAACUUUACAGUUCAAGUCACACCCACACUUUGUAAUUCAAACAGGAGACACACUUUCACACGCGCCCCAGAAUAAUGUGCAAGAAUGUUCACAGCAGUAUUAUGUCCAUCAACAACAGAAUGGACACAGAACUUGGUACUCCACAGUGUGAAGGUACCACAGCAGCAAUGAAGGGCAGCCACUGCAGUUACACGCCAUCAGCAUGGACUCAUCUGUCAACCCCCAACAGAAGGAAGGCACAAGAGAAUAAAUGCAGUACAAUUCCACAUGUAUAAAGUUCAAGGGCAUGCAAAGUGAAACUAUAGGCAGGCACAGGAGGGAAGCAAAUUGAGGAUGAUUAUCACAAAAAUCAGGUUAGUGAUGAGGCAGCCACUGGGAGAAACAGGGAGCCUGUAGGCCCUGAAAAUAUUCUCUUUCUUAACUUGGAUGGCAGGUUGCUCCUGGUUCACUUAAUUAUAAUUCCUUUAAAAAGUGAAUGCAUGUUUCACUUCAGAUUGUGUAAUUUUAAAAACACGGGGCUAAAUUCCUGAUUAAAGAACUAUACAAAUCAAUAAAAGACCAUCAACCCAAUGGAAAAAUGGCCAGAGACAUAUGAAAAGAUGCCUUAGACAUAUAGCAUCUUUUCUCAUCCACUUACUAGGAGAAAUGCUCACUAAAAUUAUCCUGUAAUGCCAUUUAAAAAAAUCUCAGAUUGUUGAAGUACAAAAAGUUAGAUAACAUAUUAUCAACCAAAAUGUGAAAAAAAAAAAAAGAUAAAUUGG